rnacentral:rRNA from 1 species
GAUGAACGCUGGCGGCGUGCCUAAUACAUGCAAGUCGAGCGAACAGAUGAGAAGCUUGCUUCUCUGAUGUUAGCGGCGGACGGGUGAGUAACACGUGGGUAACCUACCUAUAAGACUGGGAUAACUCCGGGAAACCGGGGCUAAUACCGGAUAAUAUUUUGAACCGCAUGGUUCAAUAGUGAAAGACGGUUUCGACUGUCACGUAUAGAUGGACCCGCGCCGUAUUAGCUAGUUGGUAAGGUAACGGCUUACCAAGGCGACGAUACGUAGCCGACCUGAGAGGGUGAUCGGCCACACUGGAACUGAGACACGGUCCAGACUCCUACGGGAGGCAGCAGUAGGGAAUCUUCCGCAAUGGGCGAAAGCCUGACGGAGCAACGCCGCGUGAGUGAUGAAGGUCUUCGGAUCGUAAAACUCUGUUGUUAGGGAAGAACAAAUUUGUUAGUAACUGAACAAGUCUUGACGGUACCUAACCAGAAAGCCACGGCUAACUACGUGCCAGCAGCCGCAGUAA